CCUACGGGAGGCUGCAGUGGGGAAUAUUGCACAAUGGGGGAAACCCUGAUGCAGCGACGCCGCGUGAAGGAAGAAGUAUUUCGGUAUGUAAACUUCUAUCAGCAGGGAAGAAAAUGACGGUACCUGACUAAGAAGCCCCGGCUAACUACGUGCCAGCAGCCGCGGUAAUACGGAGGGGGCAAGCGUUAUCCGGAUUUACUGGGUGUAAAGGGAGCGUAGGCGGCGAUGCAAGUCAGAAGUGAAAGCCCGGGGCUCAACUCCGGGACUGCUUUUGAAACUGUGUUGCUAGAGUGCAGGAGAGGUAAGUGGAAUUCCUAGUGUAGCGGUGAAAUGCGUAGAUAUUAGGAGGAACACCGGUGGCGAAGGCGGCUUACUGGACUGUAAAUGACGCUGAGGCUCGAAAGCGUGGGGAGCAAACAGGAUUAGAUACCCGAGUAGUC
rnacentral:rRNA from 1 species